rnacentral:lncRNA from 1 species
UUGUACAUCAUAAUCAAUAUGUUCAAAAGUUUUACAACAUCAAAAAGUUUGAACAUUGAUAUUUAAUGGUGAGAAAGAAAUCUUCUGACCCAUUCCAAUCGGGCAACAGAAGGUAAACUGAAGAAAACGAUCAUUUGAGUUGGAUGUUCGGGAAUUUUACUCAAAGCAUCAUACCGCUGAUCAUCGGUUAAACCUUCAAUUGACCAUAAGGCUGAAUAUAAAUUUGAAGCUUUCUCUUCCAUCUUUUCUUCAGACUUCUGCUGAACUACCACCUCGGAGGCCAUAGUCCUACUGAUU